GAUGAACGCUGGCGGCGUGCCUAAUACAUGCAAGUCGAGCGGACAGAUGAGGCUCUUGCUUCUCUUACGUUAGCGGCGGACGGGUGAGUAACACGUGGAUAACCUACCUAUGAGACUGGGAUCACUUCGGGAAACCGGAUCUAAUACCGGAUAAUAUAUUGAACCUCAUGGUUCAACAGAGAAAGACGUAUUUGCUGUCACUAGGUGGUGGAACCGGGCCGGAUUAGCUAGUUGGUAAGGUAACGGCUUACCAAGGCAACGAUGCGUAGCCGACCUGAGAGGGUGAUCGGCCACACUGGAACUGAGACACGGUCCAGACUCCUACGGGAGGCAGCAGUAGGGAAUCUUCCGCAAUGGGCGAAAGCCUGACGGAGCCACGCCGCGUGAGUGAUGAAGGUCUUCGGAUCGUAAAGCACUGUUAGUAGGGAAGAAGAAAUGUGUGAGAAACUAUGCCCGUCUUGACGUUACCUAAACAGAAAGCCACGGCUAACUACGUG
rnacentral:rRNA from 1 species